GACAGAGGAUGCAAGCGUUAUCCGGAAUGAUUGGGCGUAAAGCGUCUGUAGGUGGCUUUUUAAGUCCGCCGUCAAAUCCCAGGGCUCAACCCUGGACAGGCGGUGGAAACUACCAAGCUGGAGUACGGUAGGGGCAGAGGGAAUUUCCGGUGGAGCGGUGAAAUGCGUAGAGAUCGGAAAGAACGCCCGUGGCGAAAGCGAGGUCCUGGACGUCUUCUGACGCUGAGACGCGAAAGCUAGGGGAGCGAACGGG
rnacentral:rRNA from 1 species